CGUUUCCGCUAGGCCGCGUGACGCGCGCGCCCGGUGUGCGCGUUCCCGCGGUGCAGGCUGUGCGGCUGGGAGCUGCGCCGCGGCGGUGGGCGGCGACCGGGCUUUACCCGCCGGGACUCGGCGCCCAUCCGGAGCUUUAAUCCGUUGCGUUUAACGCCGCCCGGUUUUCGUGCUCUUUCUGCUGCCGAAGGCUCCGUUAAGGAACGGCCGAACGUCUUCUUAAAGCGUGCUCGUAGGGUACGUAACAUGGUGCCGCUCUACACCGCAGGCAGACGCGGCGGACCUGAAGGCCCGGGUUGUACUGCGGAACAUCAGUGGAAAAACGCUCCGCUGUCAUCUGGAAUGGAUGCGGACGGGAUGGAAUGGAUGCGGACGGGAUGGAAUGGAUGCUGACGGGUGGAAUGGAUGCUGACAGGAUGGCUGCAUCGCCUGCACCGAGGAGGACAGGAAGCCGGGUGAUCCCAAGUGUUUGUGGUGGAGCGGUGCAGUGAAACUUAGAUCUGGUUGUCUGCGAAGGUGAAAAUUCUUCCUGCCAUGAAAUACAUUCCUCUCUCAACACACGACAAGGCAUUCUUCAUUAAAUAGGGUGUGAUUGUCUCACUCAGAGAGGAGCUACAUCAGUCUGCCUUUUCCUGAGCAUGAUUUGAAUGUCAGAAUCAGCCCAACACAAUGCAAGAACAAAGCCAUGGAAUCAAGAAUUUAGGAAAAAAUAAGUGUCCUACCUCAUUUUUUUUCCUAGCAAGGGGUUCUGCCUUAUGUGGUCUGGGGUAGAGCUGUUUCUCAUGUUCAUAACAACAUCAGUUUGGUCACUGUCGUUCAUGCCAAGUGGAAGAGCAAUUUGCUGAUUAACUCAAAAAGAGACACAGAAUGAGACUUUUUUCCAUGAAAUUCUUCAUGAAUUUUUCCUAUGUUGACAAACCUAAUUCCUGGGUUUGUACUCUCUGGGACAGUCAUUAAAGGAGUAGUCAGUGAAUCAAUCCUUACAAGACAUGCAGACAAACUAAAAUGUUCAAAUGCAACUACCUGACCGUGAAUGGAAGGCACUGAUGUGAAAAUGCAGCAACCCUUUGCACGGAGCCCAGUGUCAGUCUCGUGCUGGCUUAUCUCACAGGAAAGUCACAUCAUGGGUUUGAAUUCAUUAUUUAAUCUUGAUAUUCUCAGUGAGACACUGGCUGUCAGAAGUGACUUUGUAAAUCAGUCUGCAGGAGAUUGGAACGGGGAGAAAUUGAUGAGAACAAGGAGACAUCUUGAAGGAAGAACCAGGAAACAGCAGAAUGGUUGGAUGUUGAGGAUCCUCCACCUCUACCAGUCAGAAUUCCCUGACCUCAAGUCUGUCUUUGCUUCAUGAAGUAAGCAAAAAAAUAAAAAUAAGAAAAAGGAAUUAAAAGACCAGGAAAAAAAAGAAAGAAGCAGCAAAAUGUCAGUAUAAGAUUUCUUCGCCUAAAUCAGAAAAUGCAGUACUGAAGAGCCCACAAGAAGCUGGUAGACAAGGAGCAGUGGUGGAAUCUUAAAAGAAUUUAGCUGACAAAUGUGGAAGAGCGGCAUGAAUCAAUCAGGGAUUUACAGUUUGGACAGGUUGGAUGGUUUCCCACAAGGGAAUUGAACCCGAAGGCCAUGCAGCUUCUUUCUUCCUUAACUGUGGUUGCGUGACAGUUUAGUGGCUUCCUGCCAAGAUGAAAAGGCAUUUUCUUAAUAAAGUAGUUAAUGAGCAGAAUUUCUUUUGUUGAUGAACAAGUAGUUUUUCCUACCUCGUUAUUUUAAAUGUGGGGACUGUGUUCAGUUCAGAGUGUCUUUUUAAACCAGCCUGAUGGACUUGCUUGACAUGGACAGCUCAAAUGGUUUAAGUUUGGCAAAAUGGCAACCAGCUGAAGACAUGAUCUUCUGGUGAUCACAAAGCAACAGGUGAUCUUGUGUGGGUACAUCCAAGUAGAUGGGGCUGAGAUUUGAAUGAAGAGCUGAACAGCCACGUGACCACAUCUGGAAGAGAACACAGCUGGGCAAUGCUAGUGCAGAAGGAGGACUCUGGAGACUCUUCUCAUUAAAAUAUCUCUCAGUAAUGAUUGUCAAAGAGAACUGUUCCUCUGUUUUGUGAAUACUACCAUGCGUUGCGGAUCUUGUUGUCUGCAAAUGCGAGUGGUGGUACAUGGAAUGCACCAUAGCAGCAAACAGACUUGCAGCGAAAAUCUGAAUUUUGGACAGGACUUUCUAAGAAAUCUAUGUCCACAUUGAUCUGUGGAGUCCUUUUGAAAUGACUGAAGGAAGGAGCCUGCAGGCCUUCCCAAGAGCAGCAGUGCCAUUUUGAACCAAAGGCAAUAAAACUCUUAGACUCUGCCAAUAUCAGGAGCUUGGUUUCAACAACCGGAGAUGUGACUUGCAUGUGCCUGUUGCCUUUGCCUUUACCUUGAUGUCCUUCCAAAAUGUGUUCUCUGGAGAAAGUUCUCUUACAAGCCAGCCUGUUGUUCUGCAUCUUUUCUGUUUUCCCCAGGCUGCCACAGGUUCACCUUCUAAACUGGCCCGUCAGCAAUGCUGUGAGAACUCAGUAGCUUUAUUUGCCCUGUCUUCUCCAUUUGUUCUUCCUUCAAACCCUUAGCAAACCUGUUUGACUUAGCCACCUCUGAGCUCUCUGCUGCUGUCUUCUGCCUGGGUCCCACUGCACCAGGGGUCAUCUCUGCCUCACGUCAGUGUGGAUGCCACUAGUUUGGGUUGAAGGCUGAGCAGGGGCUGUGGGGCUGAGUCCACAGCUGGAGCACUGCCAUCAGCAUAGGGGAGGAGGGAAGAGGUCUUUUCUCGCUCUCUUUACGUAUUUGUGCCCAUCGGAGCCUUGAUGUUGCUGCCAUUGACCCACAAGGUUGCCCUGGUCCGUGCCAGGCAUUCAGUAUUCAGCUCGAAUGUGGAGGUGUGCUUUGCCAGCAGGAGCACCAUCAUUUCCAGGCAGCAGGGAUGGACAUCACCAGAUCUCUCAGUGCCAUCAGAGGCCAUCCCAACUCCAAACCCUACAUGGGGAAGCUGCCUGAAAGAUGGGAGAGAAUUUCUGCAUCAGGAGUGACUCAGGACUUUGGUAUAUUGCGUUCUCAAAUAUUUAUUUCAGUGUUCUUAUAAAUGUUUUAUUUGGAGAAAAAUAUUGUAAUUGGCCAAUAUUCCAUAAAAUCUAAAUAUUUUGCUCUAAGAUAGUGCUUCCCCUGCUUGUGGAGAUUUGAUUAUUUGCUGAUGACACAGUUCAAGCUCUCUGUAUUGACAAGGGCUUUCCUCCACUCCUUGGUCUGUUUACAUGUGACUGAAGCCUUAAAUCCAGGCACUCUAAUAGCGAGCGGGGACAAAGACGAUUUAUCCAUGGUUGAUCUUCAAAAAUUGCUUCUCAUCUGAUGCUUUUUUUCCACUGAGAAAGAUUGUAUAUGGAAACAGGAUGAGGCAGUUGAGGAAUAAAAAGGCAGAAUUCCCUGUAACAGCUGCACUGGCUGUGCAGAGAAGGGGGCACUUGUCAGAAAUAAGGAGCUGUGCUAGCGAGGCUGCUUGUUCUCUGCACGUGUGCAAUACAAGAGGUGUUGGAGAGCAGGCAGUGUGUAGUGUGUGCCUUGGGCCUGUCCCUAUGAGCUCUUCCUUAACACAGGCUGUGAAGGGACUUUCUUGGUGUCACUUGCUUUCCAGCGCUUGAAGAGUAUUUAGUGCACUAAAUGGUGCAAUACUCUGAACUCAGUACUUUGCUGUGUGCUGAUUUCAUGGACCAGAGAUCCACCUUUGCAAGCCUGCAGUGAGGAUGCUCAGGCUUCCACCAUUGCAGGACUCGUGUUGGAGUGUUGGAGCACACGGGGAGCUGGCUGGCUCUGCUCUCGCUUUUCCCAAGCCUUUGGCAGAGCUGAGGUCAGCUCCUGGGCUGCAGCUGUUGGAACCAGCAGGCAGCAGUACCAGGCAUGGGUGGAAAAAUCCAUGGUGUGAGCAUCUUGGGAAUGUUGAGGGUUUUUUGAAGUGUCAUCUGAAGGCUUUAAUCCGUUGUAUGGUCCUAGUGAAAGCUGCUGGCAUCCAUCAUUCUGCUUGGCUCUAUUUACCAUCUGUACCUGGGUCCAGGAAAACAUUUUAACAGAUGCUAGGAGAAGAGGAGGAGGCGUGUAACAACAGCUUUCUACUUUGCAGGAUACCAAAGGAAUGUGCAAGCGCAAGAAUGAAAGGCAAAUACUGCAAGUGGAUCAGAAACAGCUUCAUUUUGUGACAGGUGGUUUUUGUAUCCUGCAAUUGCAGAAGCUACAGUGGGGUAAGAAUGAGGCAUGUUUUGGGUGGUUGGGAGAACAGCUUCCUUGAGAAACAGCACAGCACAAGAAGAAUCCAAAUUGGGUACAAAUUAGGAGAAAUUUAAGUGUUCUGUGAAAUGUGGUGUGUUUGCUGUGAAACAUGGCUGACGUUGAGGGGCUGUCUGUGGCAGUGUCAAGACAGGAGAAUUCAUCAAGGGAGAGCAAGCUGCAGCAUUCAAAACUGUGAAAAUGUAAAGUCUCCGGUGGCUUGCAUUAGUAGAGGUAGAAGUAUGUGCAGAAGUCCUUUGGCUUUGGAGGAUUCUGUGACUCAUCUCAUGUUGGGAAGGACUUGUGUUCCUGCAGUUAUGUUUGUUACUCCCUUGUCCAGUGACCUAUGAAAUACUUCUUGGUCCCUGUGCUUUGGAUGGAAGAAAAAAUUCAAAAUUACUUCAAAGCCACCUCUGGUAACUCCUUCAAAGGAGAUGUAGUGCAGUCUUUGUUGUAGGUAACAGCCUCCCCCAUCACUGAGGCUAUCAGUUGUUUUUCUGGAGGGUGAUGGUGGCAGAGGCAGAAAGCAGAAGUGCACCACGAAAGGGAACCAGCUGCUCUCCCAUCCCACAGCAUGGCGAAAAAGAGUGGAGAACUGAUACCCUUCUGGACAUAGGCUUUAUUCCAAGUGCUGGGAAAGAGAGUGAAAAAUCCCUGAGAUGCGGAAGAAGGAGAAGCAAGACUGCAGGUGGGAUCUGGUCAGGAUUGGGUCCCAGCACCACAGCAGUGCCAGACCUGGGGCCACUGGCUCUGCAGCCACCCACCUGGGCUCUGUGUCAGCUGCGGAGACACCGUGCACUGGAAGCUGCCCACAGCCACAUUUGAUGUAGUGGCAGUGAAGACCUCAGGUGGAGCAGGAGUUCAGCAGCCACUGACAUACAGGAUCUCCAUUUGGAAAGGGCUGCCGUGGUCGGAGCCAUGGGGAAUACAGCACUGGCUUGUGACAGCCACACAUGGAGAAGCAAGGGCUGACCCUGAUUUAGCGAUUGAUGUCAUGACUUAUAAGAACGACCUCCAGACACGGAAAGGAUAGAAAAGUACUUCACAGGGACCAUGGAGCUGGCAAGCACCCCAGGAUACUGAUGGUGGCCGCAGCAGCUUUGCUGUGGAUAAAUUCUCCUAUUUCCAAAGGGAAUUUGUGACCACAUAUCAAAUGCCAAACAAUGUGCUAGCAAUCUUUUUGUAUGUAGAUAAGGCAUUUUAAUGCAAUAUAGCUCAGCCUGCCUGCAGCAGACUAGACAUACUGACAAGGAUUAAUAGUCCAGCGCAAGACUUGGCAGAGUCGCAAGCAGGGAGGACUCCUAACUAAGCAGCUGUUUGAGUCUUAUAUAAGCUGUCUAGACCAAACAUGAAGAAACGAAGCCAAUCCUGGCAUUAGACUACCGCUUCUGCACAGACGGUCUCCAACCUACAGCCUUCAUAUCUGAGCUUGUGCAAAGCGAGGAAGAAACAGAAGGAUGUUAGUAGUCAAGCCAACUCUGCAUCAGAAAAAAAGUCUGUGAGCAACUAUAAAAAUAAUGGAAAAGAACAGUAAUGACUGAGAUUUAUUACAACUAGGAAAACAGUUGACGUUUUGCACGCAGAAAAUACUGUGUUGCCAAGAAUGUCUCUUCACAGUGAGCCCACAGGAGUCAGGUAGAGCUGGGGAGCAUGGCUGAUGCUACAGCAAAGGGGAGGAUGCUCCUGGCAGAGAGCAGCCUGAGAGAGAAGGUGCAACUUUUUCUAGUUCCUUGUGACUGACUCAGUGGAAAAUCAAGUUCGUUCAAAGAGAAAAUAUAAUCGGAAAAGAGGCUGCUCUUAAAGUAUUUCACGUGGCAAAUAAGACAGAAGGGUCUGUGGCUGGGACAGGUGUGACUGCGAGGGACUGGAAACAGCCAGGGCUGUCACCAGGGAGCAGCAGAGCAAGAUAUAUCCUGUUGGUGGAUGAUGGAUUAGCCAUUGGCAACUUGCAGAUUGAAGGAAGCCAGAAGUUGGAUGACACAACCAAUCCUUGUGCCAUGGGGCAGGACGUGACCCGCUGGGCGCAGCGCAUGCAGGAGCCCUUUGUCACCGCGUUGUUUGGCUCAUUAAUGAAUACCAGAACCAGUCUCGCACAGGUUGUUCACAACAUGACACACGUCUGGCUUUUUUUGGGAGCAGUGUGUCACAAGGGCCUGUUUUGCUGUUUCUUGCUGCCAGGGCCCAGGAGAUACCAGCUGCUGGGCAGUGGGGUGCAGGGGGCCCUGGCUUGGUGGCCAUGCAGAAGUUGGUUUCCCCCUGCCCAGCCCCAGAGGAGCUCUGCCUUAGGGAACUGCCUGCAGCCAUCCUGACAAUGAGAGCAGACUGUGCCCAGGGACUCUGGGACUCUUUGGCUUUGCUCGUGGCACAAUUUCUAGGAAGCCCCUUUGGAAGACCAUCAUGUUUGGGAAUGUCUGUAACCUGGUUUUUAAGUUACAAGGAUUGGUAUCUUCCCUGUACCCCUUGUCCUUAUUCCAAACCCUUCCUUUCUUGGCUAUAGCAGA